CUGAUACUUCCUUCGUCCGAAAAUACUUGUCAUCAAAAUAAAUAAAAAAGAUGUAUCUAAAUGUAUUUUAGUUUUAGAUACAUCAUUUUUAUUCAUUUUAAUGACAAGUAUUUUUGAACGGAGAGAGUAGCAU
rnacentral:pre_miRNA from 1 species